GGACGGNGAAGGCUAGGCCAGCUUGGCGUUGUUGUNCNAAUUUAAGGUGGUAGGCUGAAAUCUUAGGUAAAUCCGGGGUUUCAAGGCCGAGCUGAUGACGAGUCGUCUUUUAGAUGACGAAGUGGUUGAUGCCAUGCUUCCAAGAAAAGCUUCUAAGCUUCAGGUAACCAGGAACCGUACCCCAAACCGACACAGGUCGGGUAGAGAAUAUAAGGCGCUUGAGAGAACUCGGGUGAAGGAACUAGGCAAAAUGGCACCGUAACUUCGGGAGAAGGUGCGCCGGCUAGGGUGAAGGAUUUACUCCGUAAGCUCUGGCUGGUCGAAGAUACCAGGCCGCUGCGACUGUUUAUUAAAACACAGCACUCUGCAAACGCGAAAGUGGACGUAUAGGGUGUGACGCCUCCCCGGUGCCGGAAGGUUAAUUGAUGGGGUUAGCGCAAGCGAAGCUCUUGAUCGAAGCCCGGUAAACGGCGGCCGUAACAAUACGGUCCUGGUAGCGAAAUUCCUUGUCGGUAAGUUCCGACCUGCACGAAUGGCGUAACGAUGGCGGCGCUGUCUCCACCCGAGACUCAGUGAAAUUGAAAUCGCUGUGAAGAUGCAGUGUAUCCGCGGCUAGACGGAAAGACCCCGUGAACCUUUACUGNAGCUUUGCACUGGACUUUGAGCCUGCUUGUGUAGGAUAGGUGGGAGGCUUGAAGCGUGGACGCCAGUUCGCGUGGACCAUCCUUGAAAUACCACCCUGGCAUGCUUGAGGUUCUACUCUGGUCCGUAAUCCGGAUCGAGGCAGUAUGGUGGGCAGUUUGACUGGGGCGGUCUCCUAAAGAGUAACGGAGGAGUACGAAGGUGCGCUCAGACCGGUCGGAAAUCGGUCGCAUGAGUAUAAAGGCAAAAGCGCGCUUGACUGCGAGACAGACACGUCGAGCAGGUACGAAAGUAGGUCUUAGUGAUCCGGUGGUUCUGUAUGGAAGGGCCAUCGCUCAACGGAUAAAAGGUACUCCGGGGAUAACAGGCUGAUACGCCCAAGAGUUCUAUAGACGGCGGUGUUUGGCACCUCGGUGUCGGCUCAUCACAUCCUGGGGCUGAAGCCGGUCCCAAGGGUAUGGCUGUUCGCCAUUUAAAGUGGUACGCGAGCUGGGUUAAGAACGUCGUGAGACAGUUCGGUCCCUAUCUGCCGUGGACGUUUGAGAUUUGAGAGGGCUGCUCCUAGUACGAGAGGACCGGAGUGGACGAACCUCUGGUGUUCCGGUUGUCACGCCAGUGGCAUUGCCGGGUAGCUAUGUUCGGAAAAGAUAACCGCUGAAAGCAUCUAAGCGGAAACUUGCCUCAAGAUGAGAUCUCACUGGGAACUUGAUUCCCCUGAAGGGCCGUCGAAGACUACGACGUUGAUAGGCUGGGUGUGUNGCGUUGUGAGGCGUUGAGCUAACCAGUACUAAUUGCCCGUGAGGCNUG
rnacentral:rRNA from 1 species